rnacentral:lncRNA from 1 species
UGCCAUGUUAAACACUGAUGGAUUCAUAAAUACGUCAGCCGAAUAGAUACGCGGCUUGUGCACGUACCAACGUACUUUUCCCCCUUUUCCUUUUAAUCUUACAAAAUGUACGCUACAAGAGGUUUGAACUCCAACCCUCAAGGUUUACUUCAAGUUCUAGUAGCCAACAGGAGAGGUUACUUAACCUGCAAAAAAAAAAAACAGGAGAUGUUACUUGUUGUGCCGACUUUCUUUCUUUCUCAUAUUUUAUGUGGUAAAUAUAUCUUCAUGAGCUUUCAGUCUAGCCUUUUCCUUUUUUGAGAAAGAGAAUAUAUUAAUAUCGGAAAGACAUCAAUUACAUCCGGCCUCUGUACCAAUAAGAUGUCUAAAGACAUCAAGGAUGCACACAGCCAAAGAACAGAAAAAUAAAAAAGAAACGAAAAAACCCUGCCACGGUGAUCAAUCCUUAGCAACAACAACACUCUAAACACCACUGAUGACAACAUCCAACAUACAAAAAAUGUUCUCCGAAAGUAACGCCUCUAAAAAGGAAACAAUGCGCAAGCGUUGUCGUUGCCCGAUCGAAGAUUUUGAGUUUUCAUCCUCGAGAAAGUCUAAUUUCACCCAAAAACAAUUUCUUCAACAAGGACAUUGUCAGGUACAACCAAUGAAGACCAUACCUUGAGUUUUCAUCCUCGGAAUCAAGAAUCGAUACUCGAGGAGCACCACCAAAAUUGUAGACCUCCAGUAUUGUCGCCCCCGCUUGCCGAGGCCGCUGUUGCAAGUCACCAAACACCUAGCACACUGUCUUCAUCGCAUCCGCUACACCUUUCCGCCAACGCUUCAAGACCUCCAAUCACAGCUGCCAUGACUUCCUCCACCUCUAUCAAUGCCCUAGGAAUCUUGACUUAGACAUGUCUCAUGACUCCAAUAAGAAAGCGAAGCUUCGCUCCACACCCUCUUGAAACCGUAUUGGCUGAUCAUAUGAGCGCGCGCGACCGGAGCCUUUUUGAUCUAGAUUCAAGAGCGACGUGCGUCAAUCCAUAUACAUCUCUGACGGUGAAGACCGAAACUUGUCAGUGGCCAGAUCAAAGAGAUCGACAUCCGACAGUAGACACCAUGACUUGUCAGUGGCCAGAUCAAAGAGAUCGACAUCCGACAGUAGACACCAUGACGGAAGAAGAUGGCUAGGGCAAAACUGCCACAUCACCAAGCGCAUCCAAGCCCUGGCCAGUGCGCAGCUAGAAGUGUGUCACCACCACUGUCCCGUCGGACCGCCGUCCAGCCCCGACCCAACCGCCGUCGUCCCAGAUUGGAUCUGGGCAUACCAGCCACAAAGGCCAGCG